UGGCUCUGGCAUCGAUGAAGAACGCAGCGAAAUGCGAUAAGUAAUGUGAAUUGCAGAAUUCAGUGAAUCAUCGAAUCUUUGAACGCACAUUGCGCCCCUUGGUAUUCCGAGGGGCAUGCCUGUUCGAGCGUCAUUAUCACCACUCAAGCCUAGCUUGGUGUUGGGGCCUGCCGUAACGGCAGCCCUUAAAACUAGUGGCAGUGCUGUCAGGCUCUAUGCGUAGUAAUAUCAUUCGCUAUGGAGCCCUGACGGUCACCCGCCAGAACCUCUUACUUUAAAGGUUUGACCUCGGAUCAGGUAGGGAUACCCGCUGA
rnacentral:misc_RNA from 1 species